rnacentral:lncRNA from 1 species
AACAAAAAGGUGAUGUCUCUGUGUUUUAAAAAAGUUGUUUCUUUAAUCCCAAAGAUUUGGAAACUAAAAAAAAAAAAAAAAAAAAUCACAUUACAUUCCUGCUUCUGAUUACACGCUUUUCCAGGACAGAACUUUCAUAAUUACAAGCAAAGCCACAGGCCAAAAAUGAGUCAACUCCAUCUACCACCACCAGAUGGCAUUCUUAAAUUGAAAGGAGUCUCAAAAUUAAGAAGCUACCUAGUUUCCAACACUGACUCAAGUCAAAACAUCUGGUAACAAAUAUUCCUACCAGAAUUUUUCUGUAUCAUGGAAAUAAUUACACAAUAUAACCUCAGUUGUAGUUUUAUGAUACAGAAAGAAAAAUAAGUUACUUUUCCCCUUCUUCACUUGCUGUGGCCAAGCAGGUCAGCUAGCUCAGUUGAUAAGAAUGAAGUCCUGAAUUUAUUCCUUCCACAAAGAGUAAGCUUUGGAAGGGUAAGAUCAAGAGCACAUUUGGAGCUGGAAGACUGGAGUUCUAGGCCCAGACAAAAAAAUGCUAAGCAAAAUCCAACCUCUUUAAACUUAAUUUCCCAAGUUGCAAACACCUCCUCAAUCCUACAGAGAUGCUACAAGGAUGUAGACACACUGGAAACUUAUGCAGCACUCUAGAGAAGCUUUAGCUACUGUUAUGAUGUAAAUUAUAUUAUCCUAUAAACCAAAUUUCUAUCACUGAUGAGUCCUCUUACAAGUGCAUGCAAUUAAAAGCUUAGGAAAGAAUGUGAUCUAUUAAUCUAUCACUACACUAGAAAAAAUUAUAAAAAUUUAUCUCUUAAUGACAAGAGAUUUUUUGUUAUUGUUGUUGUUUAUUUAUUUUUGUGGUGAUAGGAAUCAAAUCCUAAUGGAAGUUUUUAAGAGUUCACUAUAUUUUUUUUAAAAGAGAGUACUGAUCUAACAAAACAAAGAAACAGAAGGAAAUUACAGAGAUGCAACUGAUACUAGUUAUAAUUGAGGUCUCAAGUAAACCUACUGCUCUACCCCCUUCUAGCCUCUGACCAGGCUCCUUGGGUACAUGGUUUGAAUGACCAAAGAUCUAUGUGCUGGAUUUUCUUUGCUCUUUGGAGAUUUAGCACUCCUCUCACAAAACAAUUCUCUUGAUAGGUAAACUGAUCUCUGUAAACCCAUCUGUAUAUAUUUAUACUCCAGAUGGUUUUGCAGAGCAAAAAAUUAAACUUAUAAGUAGUGGUGUACAUCUUAGAUUUUCAAAGGAUCAGUCAGGAGCCCAGAAAAAACAUUAUCGGAAACUCCUCAUCCUAGCCCUUUUAUUGCAUGGUAACAGAAACCAGAUGAAAUUGAGAAAUUACAAAGAUACUUAGGAAUUUAUUACACUUUCGGAAUUUAUAAAAGGCUUUAUGAAAGGCUCCCUUCCUCUUAAAUUUGAACCUUAAUUGUGCUUGAUUCCUAUGGCCUAUUAUAUCAUACAGUAAAUGAAAUCUAAGAUUAUACUAGCCAAAGAGCUUUCCUCUUGAUUUAUAUUAAUCUAGGAGUCCAGUUUCAGGGAGAUGGGUCCUGAGAGCUUCAGUGUAUAAUGAUUAAGCCUACAUGAAUAUUCUUAUUGAGAAUUUUUUUAAUAUUAUGACAUCCCUUAAACAUAGACAUUACAAAUUUAGUAACACUGAAAUAAAAGAUACACUUAUCCUUUGACUCAGCAAUUCUUAAUAAUUUAUCUUACAAAUAUAUAUCUCCAAAAACAUACUUAAGAAUAUUCAUUACAUUAUUUAUAGUAGCAAGGUAGGAAGCAAUCUGUGGGUGGCAUACAUUGCUACUUAUCCACUAACACCCUUUCUUCUGCUUUGUGCUUUAACAGCAGGACUCCCAAGUUUUAGCAAGUAUAUAGGUAGAUUUCCAACCAUCUUUGCAAGUGAGAAUGGUCAUGCAAUGACUUUCUGGCCACCAGGACAGAUACUAACAUUUCUGGAUGGUAUGUAAAAGGAGUACAUUGUCUUUUCCUCUCUUUGCUGGCUUGCAUACAACUGAAGAAAGCUGCAACAGUCAUUCUAUACUCAAGACAGAAGUCAUGUAAUGAAGGACUACAGGUCUCCCACCAAAUACCAUUUACAAAUGAACUAUUUUAUAAAAGAGAAAUAAAUCUUUAUUUGGUUUAAAUGACUAUGUUUUGAGGAUUUUUGUUCCAGAAAUUUACACUGCAUUAUAAUAUAAAACCUAAAUGUCCACCAAAAAAGCAUGAUAAAUAAGCUUUAGUAUAUUUAUACACUACUGGGAGUUAAAAAGAAAAAUUAGAGGGCUCUCUUUGUAGCUCCAUGGAAGAGUGCUUACCUAGCAUGCACAAGGCCCUAGAUUUAAUCCUCAGCAACACACACACACACACAAAAUGUUGAUUUCUAAGUAUUAACAUGAAAUAAAUUCCAAAAUACGUUGUUAAAGAGAAGAGAAACAAGUGAAUCCCAUUAAGAGCAAAGGUUUUCAACCCCUCCAGCGCAUUAAAAUCACACAGGAAACUGUCUAGAAAAUACCUGUGUGGAAUCACACUCCAGGUCAACUAAAUCAGACACUCUGGGUAAAAGGUCCAGAUACAGUAAUAAUUUUUUUAAACAUUUUUUACUUGUUGAUGGAUCUUUAUUUUAUUUAUUUAUAUAUAAUGCUAAGAAUCGAACCCACUGCCUCACACAUUCUAAGCAAGCACUCUUCCACUAAACUACAACUUCAGCCUCUAGAUACAGCAAUAAUUUUUUAAUGAAGCUUCUCAACCAUGGUAAUUCUAAUGUGCAGAACCACUACACUAGAACUGAAGGAAGCUGCACUACCAAAAGAAGGCAGAGCAACCUUAUUCAUCCUCUCACCACUCAACUUCCAAUACCUUACUUCUACCACAUCUAUUACUUAUAUGAGAAAUUUAGGACAUGAGCAGGAGCCACUGGAGAAGGAAAACAAAAUCUCAGGGUCUGAUACAUUUCAGGGGGACUGGGUUUCUUUCCUGGUCAGAUGUGUAUUUUUAGGACUUUUGAAGAGAAUUAGCAUAUAACAUUUAAAUGUGUGUGAACUUGUCCAAAAUCACCAAAAUAUAUUUAUCUGGAAAGGAGCAUUCUCUUUUCAAUUCACUGUUCUUUUCUCAAGGACAAGAAACAUUUAUUUGGUAGGUAUAAUUUUUCCUGAUGAUGUAUAAAAUGAAGACUUCCUUUUUUCAUUAAAAACCCUAAUAAAUUUCUGAAAAAAACAGUGUGAUUUACACCUGCAAUGAAAGAUUACCCAGACAGCUAAGUGUCAUAGACUCUAAUCUGAACAAGAAGCACAAUAUACAUUUCUUUACAAUGAUUUCAGCUCAAAUUUAAAAGACAAAAAUUAUGGUUAUAGUCUCCUCUUAUUUCCCACAUUGUUUAUCCAUAUAUUAUCUGAUUACUUGUCCAAAAACCCUAUAUUGGGCAAAAGGUUAAGCCAAAUACCUGUGAGGAAUCACACAGGUUUAUAGUUUACUAACCAUAAAGGACACAGCAUUCAUUUUUUGUUGUUUUGCUAAGUAACUUAACAGCACUGCUGUUGAACUGAGAAAAAUAACUAUAGCAGUUUACAUAUAAAAGGAACUAAUUAUUUACCAAGGACUGUGCUGAUCACUAUAUAAGUAUUAUAUCAUUAAAAUCUCAAAAGAAGGCAUUUUAUAGAUGAGAAAAUUCAGGCUAAGAAAGUAAAUAAAUUGCUUAAAGUUACACAGCUAGUAAGUUAUGGAGCAAGAAUUCAAACUGCCAAAUCAUCAUUUGCUGCUACUUUAAAAAUCUACAUGUAGAUCAUAUAGAUAUAGUAAUAACUAGUCUCUAUAAUAUCAAUCAAGUUGAGGGAAAAAGAAACCUAUUUAUCUCUUUCCUCUAAUUCUAAAGGUAAUGCAUUUUAGCAUUACCUCUCUCAUGAUAGACAAUCUUCUUUUCUCAAGACUUGAAGAUUCUAGUUUCUGCUUCCUCCGUUUUCUCUUCAAAGCUUUUUCUUGGAGUUCCCAGUGCACUAAAGCUCUAUUCUUCGAUUUAUGUAUUUCAUGACGACGUACCAGAUCUUCAGGAGUUGCCCGAUGAACUGUUAGAUCAUUCACAGUAUUAUCCCAUUCUUGCUUCACUGAAGUUUUCUUCUUCUUCACUUUCAGUGUUUUUCUUCCACUUCCCCGGGGACGGUAACGGUUCACUCUGACCAAUGACAUCUUACUGUUUUCCAACUGCCUCCACCGCGACUAAAACUUCAGGCUUAGGAACCACGGAGCGCGCCACAGGUCAAUGCUAUUUGGUGAGUUUUAACUCUCCUUUUCCUGAUGUUGUCCACACAGUAUUUUCUGUGCCUUGUGCUAUGAUUUCUCCUGGUGCAGUGCUAAAACUUUUCCUAUCUCUCCUGUUUAUUUUGUAUGGUAAUAAUAUGGGGUUAUCCUGUGUAUUGAAAGUGAGGGGAAUAUCUUGUCUAGCUAUAACUUCCUCAACUGGGGAAAGUCUGUUUCUCCUAGGUUUACUGUUUAAAUUCAUUGUAGCUUCUUGUAGGGCUUUCUGUAAGGGUUCCCCUUUGUGGGAAAGCAGUUCAUUUUUAAGUAAUCCAUUUCAUCUUUCUAUAUUCCCUGCUGCUGUUGUAUUGUAUGCCAGAUGAUAAUUCCAUUGUAUAUCAAGAGUUGUUAUUAGGUGUUUGACUAGUUUUCCUGUGAAAUGGGUUCCCUGAUCAGAUUCUGUGAUAGUGGGUAUGCCAUAAGCUGCUAUCCAACGUAGGAUAAGUUCUAUACUGAUGUGUUGUGUUGGUUUGUCAGCUGAAAGUGUCAUCCCAAUACCUAUACAUGUGGCAACAUAAUUUUUCUGAAAAUCCUUAAGAGGUCCUAUGAAGUAAAUUUGUAUUCUAUAAUUAAAGAUUUUAUAUUCUAAAUCUGGUUGGGGAAUUUUAUGUAGAUUAAAUCUCAGUUUCAUUUUUGGGCAUGUGGUGCACCUGCGUAAAACAGUUUUGAUGGCAUUCCAUGUUACAUCUAAGUUCUGCCUUUGGAACUAGUCAUAUAAUGCAUGUACUCCUAUAUGACAUAAUUGCUCAUGUAACUUUAUAAUGUCAUGUUCAAUAAUGUUUACUAUUGUAUUAUCAGGUUAGAUGUUUUUCCAUGUUCCUUUAAAUUUAAAUUUAAAAGGAUCUUUGGUGGGUUUUAGUUCCCAAUUCCUUUGUAGCUUGAUAGUGGCUAUUUUUGAUAAUUUGUCUACUGUGUUGUUAAGUGUACUGGUGUCUGUGUCCCUGUUUAUAUGUGCAUCUACAUGUGUAAGUUUUAUGUUAAUUUUUGUACUGGGUUCAUAUAGUUCUUUCCAUAUAUCUCUUGACCAUAAAGGUUUUCCAUUGAUAUGGAAGUCUGAAGAAGCCCAUUUCCCCGACCAUGGUGCUAUGCCAUUUGCAACACACCAUGAAUCUGUAUAAAUAUAUAUAUCUUUGCAUUUUGUUAACAAGUCCUCUCUAAAGACUAAUACAACUGCUAUUAGUUCUGCAUGUUGUACUGAUUUGUGUUCUUCUUGCUCUGUCAAGAUCUUCCCUGUCUUAGGGUUCUAUGCUGCUGGUUUCCUCUUAGCAACUCCUUUCACUACUGUACUUGAUCCACCUGUAAGCCAUGCAUUUUGUAUAUUUUCAUUGUAUGCAGGUCNAUCCAGCUAUUAGUAUAUCAUCUACAUAUGUAUAUAUUGAGACAUCUUUAAUUUUAAGAUCUUAAGGGAUUCUGAUAGUGCAAUAUGUGCUAUUAGUGGCUUCUUUUGAAGCGAUACUGCAUGGAAUUCCACAUAAUUGUGGUAACCUCUCUGGAUUCUUCUGCUAUGGGGAUAGCAAAGAACAUAUCUGACAAAUCUAUAGUUACAAAAAAUUUAAAAUUGGUGGAGGGUAUUUGUUGUAAGAUUGUGGUAAUAUCUGGCAAGUCUCCUGGCAUCUAUGGUGUCAGUGCAUUGACUGCUCUGUAGUCUACUUUAAAUCUCCAUUUACCAUUAGGUUUUAAGAUAGGCCAAACUGGGCUAUUAUAGACAAAUGAGAUAGUUCUUUCUAUGAUGUCUUCCCUCAAUAAUUCUUCAAUUUUAUUAGUUAUUUCAGUGUGCCCUCCUGUUAUUGGGUAUUGCUUUGUGAAGUUAUAUUUAAUUUUAGGUAGGACUAUGGGGUCCAUUAGUAAAGAAACUAAGUGUGUCUGAGACUUGGUCAUAUUAUUUUUAAACUUUUUAUAAGUUAUCUAUGAUGAAAAAUUUCAGGUAUCAGCUCCAUUUCUAGGACCUUAAAAGGAGUUUCAGCUAAAAGUAUCUUGGUUUUAGUGAUUUCUCUGUCCCAUAAAUGGAUAGUUACAUUUUUCCAUUUUGCAUUAGUUUCUAUGUUCCCUAUUCCUAUGAUCUUAUGAUCACUUUGCAUAGUAUUAUAUGUUAUUCCCAAAAUAAUUACUUGGUUUCCUGUAUCUAUUAGGAAUUUAUGUAUUUCUAUUUUUCCUGCUUUUUUUCUGAGAGUAUUAAAGGUUAAUCUAUAUAUAUUCUAUUAUCCCUAAUAUUGAAAAUGCUGUCUGACUUCUGAGUUUCCUUGUCUGUUGAAUGUCAUGUUCUUGUUGUAAGUUGUUUGUGUGCCUGAAGUUGCUGUUGUGUUUGGGGAAGUUGUUGUUUUGUGUUCUUUUUUUUUGUUGUUUGCUGUGGGUCCUCUGUUUGAAUGAAAUCUGCCUCCUGAUUGGCAUAUCUGUCCUUGUCCUCUGAAUGGUGUACUGCUCCUGGGCCUCCUGGGUGUGGAAUUCCAUCCUGAUGGGGCCCUUCAUCUGGGAGGCUCCAUGUUUACCCAAGGCUGCCUUUGCUGUCUGUUGUUAUAAUUAGGGAAUCUGAUGUGGUUUUGUGAGAACUGAGGAGGAAACCUAAACUGGUGUGGUGAGGGUUGAAUUGGGAAAGAAAAAGAUCUAGCAUCAUCCAGCUCUUUGUCUUCUUUACAAUAAGUAACCACAUCUUGUAGUGUAUGCAUACCUUGUAAUGCUAAUGUUACAGUUAAUCUGACUAAUCAUUAGUCUUUUCAUCCGAGGUAACAGCUCUGCCUGUAAUGGCGUGUUACAUGUGUGUAUAUUGUAUAUUGUAAUUUUCUAGUUAAUUUAAUAGCCUGUUGAUAUGUAGUCCAUUGUACCUGUGAUUUAAAACUGCUUAUAUAUAUCACAGGAAAUGCCCUCUCCUAAGCUAAUGCUACCCAUUACAGAACAGUGUGUUUCUGCAGUCUUUUCUCACUAGUUUCAGCCACUAAAGCCUCAUAUAUAGAUUCAUUUUCUAGUAUAGAUCUUAUUGUAUGCAUUUCAUCUCCAUGAACUCUGAUGGCAUGGGCUCCAUGUUCCCACAGUCUUAAUAAAAAUUCUACAUCUUGCUCCACUUUCUGGGCAAAUUCAUUCCUUAACUGCUGCAGCUCUAUUCUACUAAAAGGUCUCGUUUCCACUUCCUCUUCAUUAUCACUAUCUUCUGACCCCUUUUUCCUUGGCAUUUUGGUCACCUUUUGUGUAGUUACCUAUAAAACUUCACGAUUAUCUGGGUGACUUUUUUGCCUUUCUAGGGCCUUUCUUACUAAAGUUUUAACCUUUGGUUCUAUCUUCAUCUAUGUCAUUAAUAGUUUUAACUAGCAAUCCUGGGAUUUCUUUUGGAGUGGCUCUAGCAAUGAUUGGCUGAACUACCUCUGGGUGGGAUAGGGGGAUAUCAAUUCCUUUAGUUCCCUUGUUAAAUCCUGGCAGUUUCCCUUGCACUGUUCUCUAAUUCUCUCCAGGGACUAGCAGAGCUAACUUCCUGGUUACUUACUUUCUUUUUAAAGAUGUUCUGUAAUUUCUUUAUUUUGUCAAUAUGCUAUAGAUCAAUUUAAUAUACUUUUUCCUACAAUACCACAUAAAAGAUGUGUUUGUGUCUAUCUGCUUUAGUGCUUAUGCAAUUUGAUUUUCUAGAUGUCUGUGGAUGCACUUUUUCAUGCAGUUCACGUGUUAUUGUAUGUAUCUGUCUAGGAGGCAGAUUGUGUAGUUUGCUAUAUGAUGGUGUGUCUGUGUGGUGUUAUUACCAAUUUGGUAUAUGUCUUUGCAGAAGGUGUAAUGUCCUAUUAGGUUUAUUGCUAUAAUUGUCAAUGUAAAUAUUAUAAGUUUCACUGUGUUUAGAAAAAGUUUCUGAAUUCUAUAUGUGGUUGUCACACAGGCAGGACAAGAUAAUUCUCACAGACAUUAUUUGUCUCUUUCCUUGACUGCCGACUACACCAACUGUCUCGAGGGGGCAAAAUUGUGACAUAUGCAGUCGAGGGGAGAAAUAAAGAAUGUCUACAUGCUUCUGCCUUUUAAUGCUUUAUUCACUCAAAUUACUCAAUAAGGUUUCACUCUAUAAGUUUUUAAUCAAGAAAAUGACAAUCCUUAAUGAUAGGUACUGCAAUAGACAAAAUCACUUCACAGCAAACAAUUCUAGAUUAAUUCUAGGGACUGCAAAGCACACUUAAUCAUGACCGGCUAAUGACAGACAUUUCCUCUUCAUGCUAAGUUCAAAAGUCUUAAGCUUUAGGCCUUAUGUCCAGCAGAUGCACACUCACUCAGACCGUAGACCUCACUCAGGUCCAGAACCAAGGCAGGCUUUUCCUGGCAUGGAGUGGAUGACCAGUUGAGAAGAGGGUCAUAUGAAGAAGUUGCGGCUCUCACCCAGGUCCAGACAAUGUGGUAGAGUUUGAGAGUGGUGAGGAUCACGCAGAGGCUCAGGAAAUGAUGACAAGUGAUGGGAUGUCAGGUCCUCAUCAGGCUCUCCAGCUGGAGUGCAUCCUUGUUUUGGCUGGCUGAAUCCCUGUUCAUUUGCUCCAUUAUUUAUACUAAAUUUGGGAGAUUUUUUGACCCCUCCUUUCAAUCCUUAUCAGCUACCACUAGAUUUCUUAGCGACAUCAUUUACCCUAGGGUCAGAAACAUCUGGUCUGGUGGUCUCCACCCUGAUCUUCUCUCCUUUUCCUCUUAUCAGGGGAGGACAGCCUGCCAGGGUCUUCCCUCUGCUUAUUAGGGUGAGGGGAAGUAACUUGUUUGUGGCCAUACUGGAGGGCUCUGUGGGUGUGCCUGGUGAGACUGCAGUUUAAAACUCUAUUUUAAAAACUGGAGUUUUUAAAAUGGAGUUGCUUAGGCUCAGGCCUAAGGCCAUCCUAACAUCAAAUGAUACAGUUCUUAGUUUGACCUUGUGUUUUAUUAUGAAGACAAUAAAAUAUUGAGUUUAUAUUCACAGAGAGAGGGGAGGGUUGGACUCUUAACAAAGAAUAGACAACGUAACUAAAAAUGGACAAAUGACUGAACUAGACAUUUCUCCAAAGAAGAUAUAAAAUGGCCAACAAAAUGUGAAAAGAUGUUCCUGUCUCUAGGGAAAUGCAGAUGACAACCACAAUGGAAUACCACCUCCCACCACUAAGAUGGCUGGAAUAAAAAAAAAAAAAAAGAAACCCAUAAAUCAACUAGUGUUGGCAUACAUGCCUGGAGAAUUGUAAAAUGCUUCAACUAUGUGAUCCUCAACAAGUCAAAUCUAUAAUUACCUUAGACCUGGCAACUCAACUUCUAUGUGCAUAUAUAAAAGAGCAUUAAAAUGUGGGGUUGGGAUUGUGGCUUAGUGGCAGAGCACUUGCCUCGCACAUGUGAGGCACUGGGUUUGAUCCUAAGCACCACGUAAAAAAUAAAUAAAUAAACAAAAUAAAGAUAUGUUUUUAAAAUGUGGUUGGGUUUGUGGCUCAGUGGUAAAGGGCUCACCUAGCACAUGUGAGAUCCUGAGUUUGGUCCUCAGCACCACAUAAAAAUAAGUAAGUAAAAUAAAGAUAUUGUGUCCAACUACAACUUAAAAUAAAUUAAUUUAAAAAAGUAUUUAAAUGGCUAUUUAUACAAACUUGUCCAAGAAUUUUCAUGGCAACACACUUCACAUAGACAUGGCAGAUAACCACGAGCUGAUGGAUCGUAGAAUUCAUAUAGUUUAUUCAUAUAAUGGAAUAUUAUCCAGCCCUAAAAGGAAGAGGACCUGACAGAUUGGCUACAACAUGGAUGAACCUUGGAACCAUUAUGCAAAGAGAGGCACAGGGGCCAUUUAUUGCAUGAGUUCAUUGAUAUGAAAUCUCCAGAAUAGGCCAACCUGUAGAGACAGCAAGCAGAUUAGUGAUUAGCAGUGACUUGGUGUGGGGAGUGGGGAUGACAGCUGGAUGGUAACGAGGUUUCCAUUUGGGAUGGUGAGGAUAUUCUUGACUAGAUGGCGGUGAAGGUUUUCCAAAGUUACAAGUUUACUAACUCACACUGGGUUGUACCCUUCAAAACGGACAGAGGGUGACUAUUAAACAUGAAUUUUACUUUAGUAACUCAGGGAGAGAGUUGAAGGUGAGCCAUCCUCAGCCAUGAGGGGGUCUCUGAAGAUCCCACCUCAGUCCCAAAGAGUAGAAGAGCUGAGGAAAGCCCUGAUCAUGGGACCUUCCCUGAACUCUCCCCUUCCUCCCUGGCUCUGCUCGGGCCUGAGAAGUCGCGCGCAUCCGCGCUCCACGCCCACUAUUUUGAAUGGGGAGCAAAUGGAACUGCUAUUGGUCCAGCCGGUGGGGCUGAGCGCUGAUUGGCUGAGGCUGGCAACGGACCUGCCCCUGCGCAGAGAGCCGUUGAGGACUCGCUGUGUGGCAGUUCCCCAGCCCUGGGGUCAGUCAGCGCCUUGUCAGCCGCCUGGUGAGCACCGCAGGAGCGCCCUGGAGCCAGGUGCUCCUGUCCAGCCCCAGUGAGUGCCGGAGGUCUUGCAGGAGGCUGGGGAGGGGACCCUCCGGAGGGGACCCUCCCUCUUAGGGCCUGGUCACUCAGGCUUGCCAAAUUCACCUGUUGUCCCCGUCGGGUCUGGCUCCUCCUCUGUCCUCAGGGUCAGGUUCCUCAGUCCAGGGUUUCCUGAAUUCUCCUGAAACACCCUCAUUGAUCCGUUGCACUCUGAUUGCAGGCCUCUGGGUUCUGUUUUGAAUCGAUCCUUUUGUAUUUUGUACCCUCACCCCCACCCCCAGCCCCUGAGCAUUUCCAAAGAAAUCAUUCACAAAUGGAUGUACUUCGUUGAUGGCAGAAUUGGGGAUCUGGGGUCCUCAGCACCGUCUGUGACAUCCUUCUUUUCCCCCAUAUCCCAAAAAGCCUUUCCAGAGACCCUUAGAAAGAGAAGGGGCAAAGUGUAGCAUGGCCCUGAGGUGUCCCACCUAGCUUUGUGAUCUUGCAGAUCUGAACAUGUCAUCUCUGUGAGAACAUUCUCCCCACACCUUGUGGCAUGUUACAAAUAUCAAGCUUGGUUCUCAUGAUCACAGUGGCUGGACCCCACUGGAUGUGUGCCAGGUAGCACAGGGGUCAGUCCGUACAAAGAGCAAUCUUUGCAGUGGGAAUAGCCACUGCACCCUUGAGGGGAGUUGCUGGCCUGCAGAGGAGAGCUUCUCUGGGGGCUUUUCCUGGCUCUGGCUACUCUCUCUUGUCAGCCUGGUGCACCAGGCAGGGGCUAUUCUCAUCUGCCUCUGUGGACUUGGCUCUAGCCCUUGAUUCCUGGCCCUGGCUCUGGCACUGACAAGAACUUUAUCUAUGAAAUAAACCUAUUUUUUUGUGGCCAAGGCUUCUUCUCACUUGUUAAGUCUAGCUCAGAUCUUACUACAUUGAAUAACUGCAUUCCUCAAUUUCCCUGGUAAAAUUCAUCAUCCUACAAUGAGAUCUCAGUCUGAUUUCAUACAUUCUGUGCAGGCCCUGCAGAUAAAACCAAAACCAAACCGAAGAAUAUGACUAUUUAACACCACUUGGGUGCAGUCCCUAUAGCAGUCAGGGAAAACAGGAGGGGAACACUGGGAUCACUUUUGAUAAGGAACAUUACAAAGAUUUGGAACUUAAGGGACAUUUUAAGAAGGAGCGUUACCAUGAUUUGGAACUUCAGGGACAUUUUAAGGACAAGAGGGGCUCUUUUCUAGAGUGGACACUGUCAGGAAGCAGGAAAUUCAAUUGGUGGUGGUCUUCUUACAUCUUAUGCAGAAAAGGGAAGCCUAGAGGGAGGUGAAUAUUAAUUGGGGGCAAAGCAGCAGUCAUUUAAGUUCACGAGAUAGGGAUGAUUGGUCACUUCUAUGAAUUAAUCUAUGUUCACCUUUCAUCUGUGUUCAGACAUGGUUAGAGAUCAGACUUCAUUUUUGGUCCUGAUUACUCAUUUCACAUUGAAUUAGGUGCAUGUUGAUGCUCUAUGAAAUUGCUUGUGCUGCACUAGGAAUUUAGGGCCAUGCUGCAUGUGUCAAACUUGGUCCUGGCAACAGCAGGCCCCGCUGAUAGACAGGCCAACUGCUGGAGGUCGAGGCUGCUUUCUUCUUUUUCAUACCAUCUCAGAGCCAGGUACUAAAAGAUGCCUCCUAGGAGAGGGUUUCAAAUAGAUUGAGAAAAAUAUUAAAGCAUUUAUGGCACCAGAAAAUUAUCAAGACAGAAGAAAUUGGAACAAGUAUUAAAAGGGAGUCCAAAACAACAGUUUGUGACCAUUGCUUCUGCUGGGGAUGCUGUUCCUGUCCUGGCGCAGUCUCCUUUUUGCUCUGGCUGGGGUUGUCUGUUCACAUGCCCAUUUGGGAGCUUCUCUUCUGGGUGCCAUGUGCAUUGCUGCUGCUGGACCCCCCAAAACUCAUGGAAUUUGUGUGUGUCCCUCCCUCCAGCAACCUGUGUUUACUACCUGCCUGGACCUCCACACAGGUGUCUGACAUUCACUCAGAUGGUUGGCCCUUUACUGCCCUUUGAGGAAAUCCCAGAGCCUGUGCAGGCACCUUGUGACCUCACCCAGAGCAAAGAGGAUUCAUUCUGUUAGGAGCUUAGAGAAAAGGGCAACAGAAUUUGGUGAGGGCUUCGGUGGGAUGAACAGAUUUGUAAAAUUAGGCUUCUGUGGAAAGGUCCCAGGGAAACAUAACUGUUCUGACUCUGGGUGCCGGGUAAGUCACAUUGCCCCUUUGUGCUGUCUUUCAUUUUCCUUUUCAUAAAAGGAUUUUUAGGGUGGUGUCUAUAUUCCUGAGUAGAAAUGCAUUAUUAUUUUGGAUGCUCUCUGUCACUGUAAGUUGCACACACAUUCUUAUACCUGCAGCAUGGUGACCUGGGCUUCCUCUCUGUUCCAGGAGUUAACAGUAUUGUUGUCCACUCAGGCCCAGGUGCGUCCAUGGCUAAAUUCAGCAUCCUGAGGAGAGGAGGACAGAGUUCCCCUGAAUAAUGUCAAGGAGCGAGGUAAGCCUGUGUGCUGCUUCUUUCUGUCAUUUUUGAUUAAUUUGCAUUUUUAUAUAACCAUAGACUAUGCAUUCCUUUUGUGUCACCUCUAGUAACUAUUUUCAGGUUUUUCGAUGCUUUUCCUACAUCUGCACUUCAGCCUCUCAUGGCAGUGCAUAGUAGUUUACAGUUUGUUCAUACAUUCCUCUCCUAAUGGAUGUCUGCAUGUUUCCUGUGUUUGUGUGCAUAUUUGAAAGAAAUUGCUAUGGAUAUUAUGAAAAAGACAUUGUUUAAGCACUUACACUUUUAUUUCCCUUCAUUUAAUGCCUGGUCAUAUGGGUAGAUACAUGUUCAACUUUUUUCUUUGCUUUUGGUACUGGGGAUUGAAGCCAGGGCCUCAGCAUGCUAGGUGAGUGUUGUACAACUUGAGCCACAUCUCCUGUCCUUUUUCAUUUUAUUUUGAGACAAGGUCUUGCUACAUUGGCCAGGCUGGCCUGAAAUUUGUGCUCCUCCUGCCUCAUCUGUCUAUGUAGCUGGGAUUACAGGUGCACACCACAAUCCUGGCUUUGAGUUCUGCUUUUAAGAACAUUUUCAAACUGUUUCCCAAAGUGGUAUAUCAGUUUGUAUUCCCACCAAUGGUGUAUUGAGUUAUUCAGUUUCCCUAUGAGUAUUUUCAAUUCAUGCUAUUGUAUUUACAUCAUUUUAUUUUUUUGCAGAAGCAUAGUGAAUAUAAGUUGUUUGCUUUGCAUACAACUAGUUUAGCUGGGUGAUCAUUUAAAGAGUGAAAUAAAACACAGAAAUCCCAUAUAAUUAUACUUCCCUAUUUUUGUCUUGUCCCUGAGAAUUUCAUGUAUAUAUCUAAUAGACAUCAUAAAUAAAAAAUCAUUGACUGGUAGAUAUUUCAGUUGCUUCUGUAUCUAAGUAUACAUCUUAUUUUUUAUGCAUUUGUAAAAAUGAAUGGAUGCACUGUUCCUUGUACUCAGUUUCCCCCAAUGAUGACAUCUUGCAAAACCACAAUUUGCUAUCACAACCAAGAAGAUUACUUCAAUAUAGUGAGGAUAUACAAUGUUUCCAUCACUAGAAGGAGUCCACUAGUUGUUUUUUGUAGCCAAACUUUUCGCCUCCUGUCUGUGCCUUUUCCUACAGGUAACCAAUAUUAUAUUCCUCCGUUACUAGAAUUUCAUAAAUUUUACAAAAAUCAAAUCAAUCAUAGUAUUUGCUAUUUGGGGAUUAGCAUCAUUCACUCAGGAUAAUCUUCUGGUGAUGCAUACAAAUUGUUGCCGAUAUCAGUUUUCAUGACAGAGUAGUUGUUUUUGUUUUAUUAUCUCCAAAAGGUCAUUUGGGAUGAAUUCAAUUCUUGGUGUUGCAAUAAGGCAGCUACAUAAAAUUUUUUUUUAAAAAAUGUGCAUGUCAUCACUAAAGUCUUCAUUUCUCUGCAUAAAUUCUCAGAUGUGCAACGGACAUAUCUAAUAUUAUUUGCAUUGUUGGUAAGCUUUCCACUUCUGUGCCCAAAUACCUGAAAUGAUCAGCAUAAAAGGAGGGAUGGUUUAUUUUGGCUCAUGUUUUCAGUUCGUGCCUGGUGGUUCUGUGGCUUUGGGGCCUCAGCAUACAUCCUAGUAUUGAUGCUGCUCACAAGAGGACCAAAGUUCCAAUAUACCCCUCAAAGGCAUGUCACUAAUGACAUAUCCUUCCAAUAGGCCCCACCUCUUACAACUUCCACCAGCUACUGUCAGUACCACAUGCUGGGGACCAACUCUUCAACACCUGGGCNCCCCUUUGUGCUGUCUUUCAUUUUCCUUUUCAUAAAAGGAUUUUUAGGGUGGUGUCUAUAUUCCUGAGUAGAAAUGCAUUAUUAUUUUGGAUGCUCUCUGUCACUGUAAGUUGCACACACAUUCUUAUACCUGCAGCAUGGUGACCUGGGCUUCCUCUCUGUUCCAGGAGUUAACAGUAUUGUUGUCCACUCAGGCCCAGGUGCGUCCAUGGCUAAAUUCAGCAUCCUGAGGAGAGGAGGACAGAGUUCCCCUGAAUAAUGUCAAGGAGCGAGGUAAGCCUGUGUGCUGCUUCUUUCUGUCAUUUUUGAUUAAUUUGCAUUUUUAUAUAACCAUAGACUAUGCAUUCCUUUUGUGUCACCUCUAGUAACUAUUUUCAGGUUUUUCGAUGCUUUUCCUACAUCUGCACUUCAGCCUCUCAUGGCAGUGCAUAGUAGUUUACAGUUUGUUCAUACAUUCCUCUCCUAAUGGAUGUCUGCAUGUUUCCUGUGUUUGUGUGCAUAUUUGAAAGAAAUUGCUAUGGAUAUUAUGAAAAAGACAUUGUUUAAGCACUUACACUUUUAUUUCCCUUCAUUUAAUGCCUGGUCAUAUGGGUAGAUACAUGUUCAACUUUUUUCUUUGCUUUUGGUACUGGGGAUUGAAGCCAGGGCCUCAGCAUGCUAGGUGAGUGUUGUACAACUUGAGCCACAUCUCCUGUCCUUUUUCAUUUUAUUUUGAGACAAGGUCUUGCUACAUUGGCCAGGCUGGCCUGAAAUUUGUGCUCCUCCUGCCUCAUCUGUCUAUGUAGCUGGGAUUACAGGUGCACACCACAAUCCUGGCUUUGAGUUCUGCUUUUAAGAACAUUUUCAAACUGUUUCCCAAAGUGGUAUAUCAGUUUGUAUUCCCACCAAUGGUGUAUUGAGUUAUUCAGUUUCCCUAUGAGUAUUUUCAAUUCAUGCUAUUGUAUUUACAUCAUUUUAUUUUUUUGCAGAAGCAUAGUGAAUAUAAGUUGUUUGCUUUGCAUACAACUAGUUUAGCUGGGUGAUCAUUUAAAGAGUGAAAUAAAACACAGAAAUCCCAUAUAAUUAUACUUCCCUAUUUUUGUCUUGUCCCUGAGAAUUUCAUGUAUAUAUCUAAUAGACAUCAUAAAUAAAAAAUCAUUGACUGGUAGAUAUUUCAGUUGCUUCUGUAUCUAAGUAUACAUCUUAUUUUUUAUGCAUUUGUAAAAAUGAAUGGAUGCACUGUUCCUUGUACUCAGUUUCCCCCAAUGAUGACAUCUUGCAAAACCACAAUUUGCUAUCACAACCAAGAAGAUUACUUCAAUAUAGUGAGGAUAUACAAUGUUUCCAUCACUAGAAGGAGUCCACUAGUUGUUUUUUGUAGCCAAACUUUUCGCCUCCUGUCUGUGCCUUUUCCUACAGGUAACCAAUAUUAUAUUCCUCCGUUACUAGAAUUUCAUAAAUUUUACAAAAAUCAAAUCAAUCAUAGUAUUUGCUAUUUGGGGAUUAGCAUCAUUCACUCAGGAUAAUCUUCUGGUGAUGCAUACAAAUUGUUGCCGAUAUCAGUUUUCAUGACAGAGUAGUUGUUUUUGUUUUAUUAUCUCCAAAAGGUCAUUUGGGAUGAAUUCAAUUCUUGGUGUUGCAAUAAGGCAGCUACAUAAAAUUUUUUUUUAAAAAAUGUGCAUGUCAUCACUAAAGUCUUCAUUUCUCUGCAUAAAUUCUCAGAUGUGCAACGGACAUAUCUAAUAUUAUUUGCAUUGUUGGUAAGCUUUCCACUUCUGUGCCCAAAUACCUGAAAUGAUCAGCAUAAAAGGAGGGAUGGUUUAUUUUGGCUCAUGUUUUCAGUUCGUGCCUGGUGGUUCUGUGGCUUUGGGGCCUCAGCAUACAUCCUAGUAUUGAUGCUGCUCACAAGAGGACCAAAGUUCCAAUAUACCCCUCAAAGGCAUGUCACUAAUGACAUAUCCUUCCAAUAGGCCCCACCUCUUACAACUUCCACCAGCUACUGUCAGUACCACAUGCUGGGGACCAACUCUUCAACACCUGGGCCUUUGGAGGACAUUCAAGAUCUAAAGUAUAGCAUGCGUGUUUUGUUUUGAAGAAACUGACAAACUGCUUCCCAGGGGCUCUAAUAAUUGCAUUAUCAAUAGCAAUGUGUGAGUGAUCCUGUCUCUUCCUCUUCAGCAGCAGAAAUUGGAGAGUAUUUUUAUUUGAGCUACAUUUAUAGGUGUGUAUGAAGUAGGUGUGUGUGUGUGUGUGUGUGUGUGUGCGUGCGUGUUGAGAUGGGGUCUUGCUAUGUUGUGCCGUCUCCUCUCUUACUCUUAGGCCCCAAUGAUCCUUCAGCUUCAGCAGUCUGGGUAUCUCCCCUAUGCCCUUUGAUUCUCAUUGUGAUUUUAAGUUAUAUUUUCCUUAUGGAAAAACGUUUUUCAUCUUCUUCUUUGCUUGUUGGACUCUGGAUUUUCUUCAUGACAGUAAUGCAAUUACAGAAUAAUGGCCUAGAAAAUUACAAACUAAACACAAUAUUAGAUGAAAGAAGGAAAUAACAAAGAUUAAGAAUGAAAAUAAUGACUUGUGCCAUGGUACAUGCCUGUAAUCUCUGUAGCUGUGGAGGAUCAUGUGUUCAAAUCUAGCCUCAGCAACUCAGCAAGACCCUGACUCUAAAUAAAAAUAUUACAGAAGGACUGGGGAUGGGUCUCAGUGGUUAAGCACUCCUGGGUUCAAUCACUCAUACCAAAAAAAUAGAAACGGAAAAAGUGAACUACAAAAUAGAAAAACAGUGGUAAAAUCCAUAAAAUCCAAAAGUUGGCUUUUCAAAAAGAUCAGCCAAUUAAAAGGUAAGACCCAAACUAUAAGAGUUGAACAUGGGGUCAUCUGCCUUACAGAAAGAAAAGGCAUCCCAAGAGAAUACUCUGAACAAUAUAAGAUAGUGAAUAACCUAGAUGAAAAAGCAGGAGUUUUUGCCAGUGAAUCAGUAGGAGGUCACCAGGGAGCACAAAGUCACCUUGCACAAUGAAGACAAGGAUCCUGCCCUGAGCUCCUAAGGCCACUAGAGGGUGCCGAAUCCUGCUUUCUGCCCUAGGUGGUGCACAGGCCUGUGAAGCCUGGGCCUGGUUUCCUCAGAACCCAGCCCUGGAAGCUUGUCCUCCACUUGGGUGGAGGGGGAGCCUCAUCUAUGCUGAGGAGAAGGUCUGUUGGAGGCCCUGAUGCCCGAGGAAGGCACUUUUGUUGCCGCUGCUCUUGGACGUUGUGUUAAGUAGGCCAUUCCCAAAGGUUUGUUCUUUCCUUCCUCACACUUGAACAACAAUGACCCAUUUAUUCGAGGUGGAGGCUCGUCAUAACAGAGGAGGAAGAUGAGGUUUUGUGCAGACGCAGGUGGUUUUGCAGGAGAAAUUAUCAGGACACACCCAGAGAAAGGGAUAGCUACAAUUGGGGACAGAAUGGACCAAGCCUUGUAGCUGUACUGAUGAGGUAGGGACACAGGACUUUCUAGGGGUGAGGGGUGAGGAAGGCCAGGGGGAAGGGUCAGUUAACAGUGGUCCAUGUAUUUUUGUAAUUAUUGUUUUUAACCCUCAGGUAAAAGCAGUUGAAAAACAAGUGGCGAAUUGAAAGGGGGUCAAGUAAAACUCAUGACAUUUUGGUUUAAAUAUUGCAUAUCAAAACUAGAAUUCAAUACAAAUGUAAUUUCCUGGAUUUUAUGAAAACAAAUCAUUCAUUUAAAAAGAUACUUAUUAGUUCUUCUCAUUUUCAACUGAGAGACUUCUCAUAUUUGAUCAUUGCUCAUGACCAGUGAAGACCUUAAAUAAUUUUAUAUUAAUUUGCAUUGGCUAAAUCAUCUUUCAAAGGACUGUAUUGUGACUGGUGAUGUUUAAAAAUAAUCUGUCAAUGUGACUUCCAAGUGUGGGUAUUAUUGCACUGAGCAAAAUUUGUCAAUCACAUUUAGAAGAUCCCCAAAACAAUGGUGAUGUUUUAGUAACAAUUAUUGAUAUUUUGUGGUGCUAAAGGCCAUUUAUAUGAAAUAUCUACAGAAUUUAACACAAAAUCCAGUGGUGGAGUUUUUGCAUGAGAUGUUUGUUGAAUUAAAUUUUCCCUUUUUAUUAUUCAAUAUCUGAAUAUAUUUAAUUUUGUAUAUCUCCAAAGCAAUGGGGAAAAUUAGGAUCAAUGUAACAUUCUUUAAAAAUGUGUUAUAUAAGAAAAAUUGCAGGCUGAGGUUGUUCCUCAGUGGUAGAGUACUUGUGUAGCACAUGUGAGGCACUGGGUUUGCCCUCAGCACCACAGUACAAAUAAAUAAAUAAUGUUAUUAUGUCCAUCAAUAACUAGAAAAUAAUAUUUUAAAAAUUAUGUUUAUUUCCCCAAAUAAUUGAAACUUUCAUCCUUGGAUCUUACAUUAUUAAUUUUUAUUUACUUUUUUGUUCAUUUUCUAAUUUGGAAAGUAUAUUCAUAUCUUGUAACAGUUUUUCUUCAAACAUUCUUGUAGUUACUUUCUUUUCUUCUGAGUAAAGACCUCCUAUUAUGGAAUGCAGAUUUAUUUUUUGGAAAUUAUUUUGUUAUUGGAAAGUCUAUUUCAUUUUAUCUAUUUUUCUCCCAAACAUCAUCCCAUAUUUAUGAGUUGUAGAAAGUUUCUAAUUUAUUUCCCCAAGGAAGGAUUUGAUUUUGGUUUGGGGAAUUUUUUCAAUUGGCAUGAUAUAUCUGAUGUAUAUUCCAUACAAUAGCUCAAUGUUUAAUAUAUAUUUCAUGUGUAUGAGCUUAGUGAUCAAUAUUGUUAAUUUUUGGGGAAAAUAUUUUGAUUACUACAACUGUGCCUCCUAGUGCCACAUGGAUGGGGAAAUCCCAGUCUCACCUAGUCUCUCAGCACUCUCCAUACUGUACAAUUCUGCCACAAUAAAGUGAGUCCCUUGUACCUUUACACACCUGAACAUGCCAGUAGAAUCUCACAGAGCAUAAGUCAGAAUGAACCAAUAAACUCUAUCUUUCUGCUGUCCUCUGAUGAACACAUAUUUGAACAGACUCAAUCAAAUUAGGCCUCGGAUGAAAGUUAGAACCGAUACUAGAGCCAUCUUCUGCAGUCAUGAAGAGUGAACUGAAGGAGACAUUCUAGUAUGGUGUGUCGCUUAGCAGGAAGAGGGAGAGAUGUGAGUGAAUGUCCUUCUCCACAGAGUUGGGAAUGGGGUAAAAGGCAGAUAGUUUCAGGGUACCCAGCAGAGGAAGUGGUUUAUGUGGAAAAGCAGUAAUGAAAAAAAAAAAAUCUCUCCACAGCUGAGAGGAAUCAGAGAAAAUUAUGAAAAACAAUUGUCUUCAAAGAAAGUCAUGUUCCAAUUUUGUUUUGGUUCCAAGAGAAAGACUUCAAAUACUAACUAAAGUAUGGAGAGCUCAUCGAUAAUAUGAGGAACACAGUAGACCGCCUUAUCCUGGAGGAUCUGUUCCAAGAUCCCCAGUGGGUGGCUGAAACUACAGAUAGUACUGACCCCUGUCUACAAGCAGUGCAAUUCUCCCCAGUUUAUCUCAUGUCCAGAUGGUUGUCAAGGUACUGAUGGGUGGGUAGCCUAUAGAGCAUGAAUCCAUUGGACAAAGUAUGAUUCACUUCAUGGUCAGGACAGAGAGUGAUAUUGCCUGAUUUCAUCAUUCAUUUAUAAUCAUGAGUAAUUUAAAACUUAUACAUUGUUUAUAGCUCUGAUUUUAAAUUACAUGAGUAAAUUAUGGGUGAGUGAAAACAUAGAAAGUGAAAUUAUUUUUCAUUAGUUCUUCUUAGAUAUGUUAGUAGAUUAUAUUUUCAUAUAUUAUUCACUCAUGGGAAAGUGAAAUCUUUGAUGAGAGGGAACUGGUGCAUUUAGACUUUUUUCUUUACUAUGACCAAAAGACAUGACAUGAAAAAUUAGAAGAAAAUUUUUUCUCUUGUGGGGGUUGGAUGUCACAGUUUCAGAGGUCUCAGUGUAUAAAUGGCUGGCUCCAUUUCUCUAGGAGUUAAGGUGAGGCAGAACAUCAUGUUGGAAGAGUGUGGUUGAGAAAAGUGGCUCAUGACAUGAUCAGGAAGCAUGGAGAAUAUGCUCAGCUCACAAAAUAUAUACCAAAGGCAUUCCCCUCCCAGAUGACCCACCUCUUCAGGCACACCCUAUCUGCCUACAGUCACCACUCUGUUAAUCACUAUGAGGGGAUUGAUGAUGCACUCAUUGUUUAAGGCUGUCAUAACCCAAUCAUUUCACCUGAAAACUUUCUUGUAUUAUCUUACAUAUGAGCUUGUGGGGGACACCCAAAAUCUGAUUCUGCCACAGCACAUUNUGAUGUUUUAGUAACAAUUAUUGAUAUUUUGUGGUGCUAAAGGCCAUUUAUAUGAAAUAUCUACAGAAUUUAACACAAAAUCCAGUGGUGGAGUUUUUGCAUGAGAUGUUUGUUGAAUUAAAUUUUCCCUUUUUAUUAUUCAAUAUCUGAAUAUAUUUAAUUUUGUAUAUCUCCAAAGCAAUGGGGAAAAUUAGGAUCAAUGUAACAUUCUUUAAAAAUGUGUUAUAUAAGAAAAAUUGCAGGCUGAGGUUGUUCCUCAGUGGUAGAGUACUUGUGUAGCACAUGUGAGGCACUGGGUUUGCCCUCAGCACCACAGUACAAAUAAAUAAAUAAUGUUAUUAUGUCCAUCAAUAACUAGAAAAUAAUAUUUUAAAAAUUAUGUUUAUUUCCCCAAAUAAUUGAAACUUUCAUCCUUGGAUCUUACAUUAUUAAUUUUUAUUUACUUUUUUGUUCAUUUUCUAAUUUGGAAAGUAUAUUCAUAUCUUGUAACAGUUUUUCUUCAAACAUUCUUGUAGUUACUUUCUUUUCUUCUGAGUAAAGACCUCCUAUUAUGGAAUGCAGAUUUAUUUUUUGGAAAUUAUUUUGUUAUUGGAAAGUCUAUUUCAUUUUAUCUAUUUUUCUCCCAAACAUCAUCCCAUAUUUAUGAGUUGUAGAAAGUUUCUAAUUUAUUUCCCCAAGGAAGGAUUUGAUUUUGGUUUGGGGAAUUUUUUCAAUUGGCAUGAUAUAUCUGAUGUAUAUUCCAUACAAUAGCUCAAUGUUUAAUAUAUAUUUCAUGUGUAUGAGCUUAGUGAUCAAUAUUGUUAAUUUUUGGGGAAAAUAUUUUGAUUACUACAACUGUGCCUCCUAGUGCCACAUGGAUGGGGAAAUCCCAGUCUCACCUAGUCUCUCAGCACUCUCCAUACUGUACAAUUCUGCCACAAUAAAGUGAGUCCCUUGUACCUUUACACACCUGAACAUGCCAGUAGAAUCUCACAGAGCAUAAGUCAGAAUGAACCAAUAAACUCUAUCUUUCUGCUGUCCUCUGAUGAACACAUAUUUGAACAGACUCAAUCAAAUUAGGCCUCGGAUGAAAGUUAGAACCGAUACUAGAGCCAUCUUCUGCAGUCAUGAAGAGUGAACUGAAGGAGACAUUCUAGUAUGGUGUGUCGCUUAGCAGGAAGAGGGAGAGAUGUGAGUGAAUGUCCUUCUCCACAGAGUUGGGAAUGGGGUAAAAGGCAGAUAGUUUCAGGGUACCCAGCAGAGGAAGUGGUUUAUGUGGAAAAGCAGUAAUGAAAAAAAAAAAAUCUCUCCACAGCUGAGAGGAAUCAGAGAAAAUUAUGAAAAACAAUUGUCUUCAAAGAAAGUCAUGUUCCAAUUUUGUUUUGGUUCCAAGAGAAAGACUUCAAAUACUAACUAAAGUAUGGAGAGCUCAUCGAUAAUAUGAGGAACACAGUAGACCGCCUUAUCCUGGAGGAUCUGUUCCAAGAUCCCCAGUGGGUGGCUGAAACUACAGAUAGUACUGACCCCUGUCUACAAGCAGUGCAAUUCUCCCCAGUUUAUCUCAUGUCCAGAUGGUUGUCAAGGUACUGAUGGGUGGGUAGCCUAUAGAGCAUGAAUCCAUUGGACAAAGUAUGAUUCACUUCAUGGUCAGGACAGAGAGUGAUAUUGCCUGAUUUCAUCAUUCAUUUAUAAUCAUGAGUAAUUUAAAACUUAUACAUUGUUUAUAGCUCUGAUUUUAAAUUACAUGAGUAAAUUAUGGGUGAGUGAAAACAUAGAAAGUGAAAUUAUUUUUCAUUAGUUCUUCUUAGAUAUGUUAGUAGAUUAUAUUUUCAUAUAUUAUUCACUCAUGGGAAAGUGAAAUCUUUGAUGAGAGGGAACUGGUGCAUUUAGACUUUUUUCUUUACUAUGACCAAAAGACAUGACAUGAAAAAUUAGAAGAAAAUUUUUUCUCUUGUGGGGGUUGGAUGUCACAGUUUCAGAGGUCUCAGUGUAUAAAUGGCUGGCUCCAUUUCUCUAGGAGUUAAGGUGAGGCAGAACAUCAUGUUGGAAGAGUGUGGUUGAGAAAAGUGGCUCAUGACAUGAUCAGGAAGCAUGGAGAAUAUGCUCAGCUCACAAAAUAUAUACCAAAGGCAUUCCCCUCCCAGAUGACCCACCUCUUCAGGCACACCCUAUCUGCCUACAGUCACCACUCUGUUAAUCACUAUGAGGGGAUUGAUGAUGCACUCAUUGUUUAAGGCUGUCAUAACCCAAUCAUUUCACCUGAAAACUUUCUUGUAUUAUCUUACAUAUGAGCUUGUGGGGGACACCCAAAAUCUGAUUCUGCCACAGCACAUUUUUCCAACAGGGACUUAGGAAGGAUGAAUUAUGAUGAGAUUUGUAAUGAAUUUAACUUAUCCCAUUGUAAACUGCAUGAAUUUCACCAUACCAAUAGAUUUUUUUCAGUUAUAAGGAUCAUGAAUACUUCCAAACAGGAAAAAGAUACAUGAACAUGUGUCUGUCAGUAAGCCAUCAGUGUUCCCAAGUCCAAUAGAUCAGUAAGAUAGUAACUGUACAUGACACUGAAUUAGAGGAGUCCAAUGCCAGUUUCCUCCCAUUCUUUUUCAGAGCUGCAACAGUGAGACACCUUCA